UACGUAGGGGGCUAGCGUUGUCCGGAAUCAUUGGGCGUAAAGCGCGUGUAGGCGGCCCGGUAAGUCCGCUGUGAAAGCCGGGGGCUCAACCCUCGGAUGCCGGUGGAUACUGUCGGGCUUGAGUACGGAAGAGGCGAGUGGAAUUCCUGGUGUAGCGGUGAAAUGCGCAGAUAUCAGGAGGAACACCAAUUGCGAAGGCAGCUCGCUGGGACGUUACUGACGCUGAGACGCGAAAGCGUGGGGAGCAAACAGG
rnacentral:rRNA from 1 species